rnacentral:rRNA from 1 species
GAUGAACGCUGGCGGCGUGCCUAAUACAUGCAAGUCGAGCGAACAGACGAGGAGCUUGCUCCUCUGACGUUAGCGGCGGACGGGUGAGUAACACGUGGAUAACCUACCUAUAAGACUGGGAUAACUUCGGGAAACCGGAGCUAAUACCGGAUAAUAUAUUGAACCGCAUGGUUCAAUAGUGAAAGACGGUUUUGCUGUCACUUAUAGAUGGAUCCGCGCCGCAUUAGCUAGUUGGUAAGGUAACGGCUUACCAAGGCAACGAUGCGUAGCCGACCUGAGAGGGUGAUCGGCCACACUGGAACUUAGACACGGUCCAGACUCCUACGGGAGGCAGCAGUAGGGAAUCUUCCACAAUGGGCGAAAGCCUGACGGAGCAACGCCGCGUGAGUGAUGAAGGUCUUCGGAUCGUAAAACUCUGUUAUUAGGGAAGAACAAAUGUGUAAGUAACUAUGCACGUCUUGACGGUACCUAAUCAGAAAGCCACGGCUAACUACGUG